CCUACGGGAGGCAGCAGUGGGGAAUUUUGGACAAUGGGCGCAAGCCUGAUCCAGCUAUUCCGCGUGUGGGAUGAAGGCCUUCGGGUUGUAAAGUUCUGUCGCAGGGGACGAAAAUGACGGUACCCUGCAAGAAAGCUCCGGCUAACUACGUGCCAGCAGCCGCGGUAAUACGUAGGGAGCAAGCGUUGUCCGGAAUUACUGGGUGUAAAGGGAGCGUAGGCGGGAGGCUAAGUUGAAUGUGAAAUCUAUGGUCUCAACCCAUAGCUGCGUUCAAAACUGUUCUUCUUGAGUGAAGUAGAGGCAGGCGGAAUUCCUAGUGUAGCGGUGAAAUGCGUAGAUAUUAGGAGGAACACCAGUGGCGAAGGCGGCCUGCUGGGCUUUUACUGACGCUGAGGCUCGAAAGCGUGGGUAGCAAACAGGAUUAGAUACCCUUGUAGUC
rnacentral:rRNA from 1 species